rnacentral:rRNA from 1 species
UUAAGCCAUGCAAGUCGAACGAGUUUAGGCUCGUGGCGUACGGCUCAGUAACACGUGGAUAACCUACCCUUAGGACCGGGAUAACCUUGGGAAACUGAGGAUAAUACUGGAUAGGCAAUUAUUCCUGCAAUGGUUUUUUGUUUAAAUGUUUUUUCGCCUAAGGAUGGGUCUGCGGCCGAUUAGGUAGUUGGUUAGGUAAUGGCUUACCAAGCCGUUGAUCGGUACGGGUUGUGAGAGCAAGAGCCCGGAGAUGGAACCUGAGACAAGGUUCCAGGCCCUACGGGGUGCAGCAGGCGCGAAACCUCCGCAAUGUGAGAAAUCGCGACGGGGGGAUCCCAAGUGCCAUUCUUAACGGGAUGGCUUUUCAUUAGUGUAAAGAGCUUUUGGAAUAAGGGCUGGGCAAGACCGGUGCCAGCCGCCGCGGUAACACCGGCAGCUCUAGUGGUAGCAGUUUUUAUUGGGCCUAAAGCGUCCGUAGCCGGUUUAAUAAGUCUCUGGUGAAAUCCUGUAGCUUAACUGUGGGAAUUGCUGGAGAUACUAUUAGACUUGAGACCGGGAGAGGUUAGAGGUACUCCCAGGGUAGAGGUGAAAUUCUGUAAUCCUGGGAGGACCGCCUGUUGCGAAGGCGUCUAACUGGAACGGUUCUGACGGUGAGGGACGAAAGUUAGGGGCGCGAACCGGAUUAGAUACCCGGGUAGUCCUAACCGUAAACGAUGCGGACUUGGUGUUGGGGUGGCUUUGAGCUGCUCCAGUGCCGAAGGGAAGCUGUUAAGUCCACCGCCUGGGAAGUACGGUCGCAAGACUGAAACUUAAAGGAAUUGGCGGGGGAGCACCACAACGCGUGGAGCCUGCGGUUUAAUUGGAAUCAACGCCGGACAUCUCACCAGGAGCGACAGGCCGUAUGAUAGCCAGGUUGAUGACCUUGCUUGACAAGCUGAGAGGAGGUGCAUGG